UCAGUCUCAAAUCCAUCUCCCUGACCAACUAAAACUAGGAGUUUACAUAGCAGGGAAGAAAUGUAACAAUGUAUAAGAAAACAGGAACUCGGGAGGAGCAAGGAAGCAAUCAUGAAGAAAACAGGAACUCGGGAGGAGCAAGGAAGCAAUCAUGAUGAAUGAGGGGUCUGGUAUCUCAUCUCUGGAUGUGGUAAUCUGCAACAUGCCUUGAGCGCUCCUGCCUGUCCUUGGAUGGUCUUCCUCGGCAGCAGCAUGGAAGGCGGGGCGGUUUUCUAUUUGUGGCUGUAUCACGAAGCACUUAAGCAAUCCACAGACAGGUUCUUCCUCCGGGUGGCUCUGUGUGUCUUCUUUUCUGU
rnacentral:lncRNA from 1 species